rnacentral:tRNA from 10 species
GGGAGCAUAGCUCAGCUGGGAGAGCAUCUGCCUUACAAGCAGAGGGUCACAGGUUCGAUCCCUGUUGUUCCCACCA